rnacentral:rRNA from 1 species
GAGUGAACGCUGGCGGUAGGCCUAACACAUGCAAGUCGAACGGCAGCCCAGUAAGAGCUUGCUCUUACGGGUGGCGAGUGGCGGACGGGUGCGGAAUACAUCGGAAUCUACUUUUUCGUGGGGGAUAACGUAGGGAAACUUACGCUAAUACCGCAUACGACCUACGGGUGAAGGCAGGGGAUCUUCGGACCUUGCGCGAUUGAAUGAGCCGAUGUCGGAUUAGCUAGUUGGCGGGGUAAAGGCCCACCAAGGCGACGAUCCGUAGCUGGUCUGAGAGGAUGAUCAGCCACACUGGAACUGAGACACGGUCCAGACUCCUACGGGAGGCAGCAGUGGGGAAUAUUGGACAAUGGGCGCAAGCCUGAUCCAGCCAUACCGCGUGGGUGAAGAAGGCCUUCGGGUUGUAAAGCCCUUUUGUUGGGAAAGAAAAGCAGCAGGUUAAUACCCCGCUGUUCUGACGGUACCCAAAGAAUAAGCACCGGCUAACUUCGUG